UUAAACUUCUUGUUGAGUGCUGC
rnacentral:siRNA from 1 species